rnacentral:rRNA from 1 species
UACGGAGGGUGCGAGCGUUGUCCGGAAUCAUUGGGCGUAAAGGGCGCGUAGGUGGCCUGCUAAGCGUGCGGUGAAAGUCGGGGGCUCAACCCCCGAUCGGCCGUGCGAACUGGGAGGCUUGAGCACUGUAGAGGCAGGCGGAAUUCCGGGUGUAGCGGUGGAAUGCGCAGAUAUCAGGAGGAACACCGGUGGCGAAGGCGGGUCUCUGGGCCAUUACUGACGCUGAGGAGCGAAAGCGUGGGGGAGCGAACAGG